rnacentral:rRNA from 1 species
UACAGAGGGUGCAAGCGUUAAUCGGAUUUACUGGGCGUAAAGCGUGUGUAGGUGGUUUGUUAAGUCAGGCGUGAAAUCCCUGGGCUCAACCUGGGAACUGCGCUUGAUACUGGCAGACUCGAGUGUGGUAGAGGGUAGUGGAAUUCCGCAUGUAGCGGUGAAAUGCGUAGAGAUGCGGAGGAACACCAGUGGCGAAGGCGGCUACCUGGACCAACACUGACACUGAGGCAAGAAAGCGUGGGUAGCAAACAGG